rnacentral:rRNA from 1 species
UACGGAGGGCGCAAGCGUUGUUCGGAAUCACUGGGCGUAAAGCGCGUGUAGGCGGCUUGGUAAGUCGGGUGUGAAAGCCCGGGGCCUAACCCCGGAACUGCACUCGAAACUGCCUCGCUCGAGUCCCGGAGAGGAUGGUGGAAUUCCCGGUGUAGUGGUGAAAUACGUAGAUAUCGGGAGGAACACCAGCGGCGAAGGCGGCCAUCUGGACGGUGACUGACGCUGAGACGCGAAAGCGUGGAGAGCAAACAGG